AUUGAACGCUGGCGGCAGGCCUAACACAUGCACGUCGAACGAGUGGCGGACGGGUGAGUAAUGUCUGGGAAACUGCCCGAUGGAGGGGGAUAACUACCGGAAACGGUAGCUAAUACCGCAUACCAUCGGAUGUGCCCAGAUGGGCUUAGCUAGUAGGGGGGGUAACGGCUCACCUAGGCGAAGAUCCCGAGCUGGUCUGAGAGGAUGACGCGCCACACUGGAGCGUCAACACGGUCCAGCUUCCUACGGGAGGCGUCAGUGGGGAAUAUUGCACAAUUGACGCAAGCCUGAUGCAUCCAUGCCGCGUGUAUGAAGGAGGCCUUCGGGUUGUAAAGUACUUUCAGCGAGGAGGCGUUACUCGCAGAAUAAGCACCGGCUAACUCCGUGCCAGCAGCCGCGGUAAUAC
rnacentral:rRNA from 1 species